rnacentral:rRNA from 1 species
CCCGCUGAACUUAAGCAUAUCAAUAAGCGGAGGAAAAGAAACCAACAGGGAUUGCCUCAGUAACGGCGAGUGAAGCGGCAACAGCUCAAAUUUGAAAUCUGGCUCUUUUAGGGUCCGAGUUGUAAUUUGUAGAAGAUGCUUCGAGUGUGGCUCUAGCCUAAGUUCCUUGGAACAGGACGUCAUAGAGGGUGAGAAUCCCGUAUGCGGCUGGUGGCUUUCGCUCAUGUGAAGCUCUUUCGACGAGUCGAGUUGUUUGGGAAUGCAGCUCAAAAUGGGUGGUAAAUUUCAUCUAAAGCUAAAUAUUGGCCAGAGACCGAUAGCGCACAAGUAGAGUGAUCGAAAGAUGAAAAGCACUUUGGAAAGAGAGUUAAACAGUACGUGAAAUUGUUGAAAGGGAAGCGCUUGCAACCAGACUUGCGCGUAGUUGAUCAUCCAGAGUUCUCUCUGGUGCACUCGAUUACGCUCAGGCCAGCAUCAGUUUAGGUGGUUGGAUAAAGGCCUUGGGAAUGUGGCUCCUCCGGGAGUGUUAUAGCCCAUUGUGUAAUACCCUGUGGUGGACUGAGGUUCGCGCAUCUGCAAGGAUGCUGGCGUAAUGGUCAUCAGCGACCCGUCUUGAAACACGG